rnacentral:lncRNA from 1 species
CUCAGGUUGCAAGCCGCUCUCUUCAAGUCGCAUGGGGUGCUUUAUGAGGUCCCAGCUGCACCAAACAGGUGCACGCACCAUUACAGAUUGCAAGCCGUUCUCUUUAAGCCACAUGGAAUGUUCCAUGAGGUCCCAGCAACAAAAAUUGCAAGCCGCUCUCUUCAAGCCGCG